CCUACGGGAGGCAGCAGUGGGGAAUAUUGCACAAUGGGCGCAAGCCUGAUGCAGCCAUGCCGCGUGUGUGAAGAAGGCCUUCGGGUUGUAAAGCACUUUCAGCGGGGAGGAAGGCGGUGAGGUUAAUAACCUCAUCGAUUGACGUUACCCGCAGAAGAAGCACCGGCUAACUCCGUGCCAGCAGCCGCGGUAAUACGGAGGGUGCAAGCGUUAAUCGGAAUUACUGGGCGUAAAGCGCACGCAGGCGGUCUGUCAAGUCGGAUGUGAAAUCCCCGGGCUCAACCUGGGAACUGCAUUCGAAACUGGCAGGCUAGAGUCUUGUAGAGGGGGGUAGAAUUCCAGGUGUAGCGGUGAAAUGCGUAGAGAUCUGGAGGAAUACCGGUGGCGAAGGCGGCUCCCUGGACAAAGACUGACGCUCAGGUGCGAAAGCGUGGGGAGCAAACAGGAUUAGAUACCCCUGUAGUC
rnacentral:rRNA from 1 species